GUCCUGAAUUGAUUGAGAGCACCUAUUGGCUGUACAAAGCUACCAGAGAUCCUAGGUAUCUUGAUGCCGGAAGGGAAAUUCUUGCUAGCUUGCAAUAUGGUGCGCGAUGCACUUGUGGAUAUUGUCAUAUAUCUGAUGUUGAAUUUCACAAACAAGAAGAUCACAUGGAGAGCUUCUUCUUGGCAGAAACUGUUAAAUAUUUGUGGCUUCUUUUUGAUUUAGCUGCUGGUCCAGAUAACCUGGUUGAGAAUGGACCGUACAAGUAUGUCUUCAGCACAGAAGGCCA
rnacentral:misc_RNA from 1 species